GGGGCUAUAGCUCAGCUGGGAGAGCGCUUGAAUGGCAUUCAAGAGGUCAGGGGUUCGAGUCCCCUUAGCUCCACCA
rnacentral:tRNA from 1 species